CCUACGGGUGGCAGCAGUGGGGAAUAUUGCACAAUGGGGGAAACCCUGAUGCAGCGACGCCGCGUGAGUGAAGAAGUACUUCGUUAUGUAAAGCUCUAUCAGCAGGGAAGAAAAGGACGGUACCUGAGUAAGAAGCCCCGGCUAACUACGUGCCAGCAGCCGCGGUAAUACGUAGGGGGCACGCGUUAUCAGGAUUUAAUGGGGUGAAAGGGAGCGUAGACGGCAGUGCAAGUCUGGAGUGAAAGGCGGGGGCUCAACCCCCGGACUGCUCUGGAAACUGUACGGCUGGAGUGCAGGAGAGGUAAGUGGAAUUCCUGGUGUAGCGGUGAAAUGCGUAGAUAUUAGGAGGAACACCAGUGGCGAAGGCGGCUUACUGGACUGUAACUGACGUUGAGGCUCGAAAGCGUGGGGAGCAAACAGGAUUAGAUACCCCGGUAGUC
rnacentral:rRNA from 1 species